CCUACGGGAGGCACCAGUGGGGAAUAUUGCACAAUGGGCGCAAGCCUGAUGCAGCCAUGCCGCGUGUAUGAAGAAGGCCUUCGGGUUGUAAAGUACUUUCAGCGAGGAGGAAGGCGUUAAGGUUAAUAACCUUAGCAAUUGACGUUACUCGCAGAAGAAGCACCGGCUAACUCCGUGCCAGCAGCCGCGGUAAUACGGAGGGUGCAAGCGUUAAUCGGAAUUACUGGGCGUAAAGCGCACGCAGGCGGUCUGUCAAGUCGGAUGUGAGAUCCCCGGGCUCAACCUGGGAACUGCAUUCGAAACUGGCAGGCUAGAGUCUUGUAGAGGGGGGUAGAAUUCCAGGUGUAGCGGUGAAAUGCGUAGAGAUCUGGAGGAAUACCGGUGGCGAAGGCGGCCCCCUGGACAAAGACUGACGCUCAGGCGCGAAAGCGUGGGGAGCAAACAGGAUUAGAUACCCGCGUAGUC
rnacentral:rRNA from 1 species